GGGGUUGUGGCUCAAUGGUAGAGUGCUCACCUCACAUGUCCGAGAUCCUGGGUUCGAUCCUCAGCACCACA
rnacentral:tRNA from 1 species